rnacentral:rRNA from 1 species
UUGAUGAGAGUUUGAUCCUGGCUCAGGAUGAACGCUGGCGGCGUGCCUAAUACAUGCAAGUAGAACGCUGAAGAAAGAGCUUGCUCUUUUGGAAGAGUUGCGAACGGGUGAGUAACGCGUAGGUAACCUGCCUGGUAGCGGGGGAUAACUAUUGGAAACGAUAGCUAAUACCGCAUAAUAUCUUUGAUUGCAUGAUUGAAGUUUGAAAGAUGCAACUGCAUCACUACCAGAUGGACCUGCGUUGUAUUAGCUAGUAGGUGAGGUAAAGGCUCACCUAGGCGACGAUACAUAGCCGACCUGAGAGGGUG